rfam:Oryza barthii chromosome 2, whole genome shotgun sequence.
AAAAAGACAAACCAUAAAUUUCCGUGUCCAAUAUUUGACUCUUCGUCUUAUAUUAAACUUUUUUAUAAUUAGUAUUUUCAUUGUUGUUAGAUGAUAAAACAUGAUUAAUACUUUAUGCGUGACUUAUCUUUUUAUUUUUUUUCAUAAUUUUUUCAAAUAAGACGGAUGCAUGGUCAAACGUUGGACACGGAAACCCAGGGUUUGUCUUGUU